CGGACGUUGUUUAUUUAUAUUGAAACGCGUGAAUAAUUUAAAAGAACUGUAUACGAGUAGUGUUUAAUAUAAGUGUUCAUGGAUAGAUCAACUUCUGUAUACAGCUUUUUCACAAACCAUGCCUAGAAUUGUAGAGCAGUCUACAUUAAGUGAAGGAUAUCAUGUUUCAAUCGUGUUAUGAGGUAAAGGGAACUGUGUGUUUACUUCUUCGAGAACUUCAAAAGAUGGGUACGGAAGUGCAUAGAAAGAUGAGAAACGAGCCCAAUUAAUAUAGAGGCUACAAAAAGCAGUUCUUGAUGGCAACGAUAUUGUCCACGAAGGAACUAGAGGAGAGAGAUUUUUCUGCCCUCCACACAUUUCAACAAUUUUUGAGUACAGUUUAGGACAUGGUAGACAAACAGAAGCGCCUGAUUCACCAUGGAAGGUGUAUUUUUAUUCUGAAUAUGCCUACAUAAAAGGAUUACACGCACGUUGAGGCCAGACUUCUAGAUCCAACAGGCGAAAUAAGACAUAAGCUGAAAAUAGGAAAUCCGCUGACGGACGAUGAUAAACAUGAUGUCGAAUUCUAUUUGGACCAAAUGCGAGGCGAGUUUUAUAACCAGUAUCCAGAUAAUUUUAGACCAAGUCUGAUUAUAUUCUCAUACAAUGCGCCUUGCACCUGCGCCAAAAACAACUGUGCUUUGGUUGUAAGUGAAUUCGGCAAAGCAGCAAAAGAAAAUGUCUAUGUAGGGUAUUCCCAUGUCUUUAGUACAACCGACGAAGAGAUGUCCGUAAGACUGAUGGAAUCAGCCGGCGUACAUGUAGUUCAACCGGGCGAGUUACGUUGUUAUGCUGUGAGCAUGAAUGCAUGCGAUAUAUAUACAUCAGGAAACCUAUCAGGAAAUGGAGAAUCAAUGCCUAGCAAGUAUGACAUAUGACCAAGCACCAACCGUUAUAAAUAGCCCGAUUGAUAAGAAGGAAAACAAACGCGAUGUUCUAUCGUCGUUGUCUCACUUUCGCCAGAAGAAAAUCAUCAAAAGGUUGAAAAGAUAACAAAGCAAGCAAAAGGCCAAGCGCCUAAUGAAUAAUUUGCAUCGCAAUUAACAAGUAACAUCUAAUUUUAGCAGACACAGGCCUGUUACAUUCAUAUUUUGUGUGUUUAGUACGCGAUUUUGAUCAGUUUGGACAUAUAUUGAUAUGAACUGGGGUUUAAUAUAAUGUUUUACCUUUACUGUAAAUACUUGUUCUGGUAUCAUCAUUCCAAUAGUCAGUGUGUUUAAACAAACAUAACAAGUAAGCAUAUGCAUAUGGAUCUGAUUGUUCACAGAUCCCAAUACAUAUAAAUAAAUUCAUAUUUGUUACUUGCCACUUAAGCCAGAAAUGUGUAAAUCGUUCUUUCCUGUUUAAGUUUACUUGUAGGAGGUUUUAUCGUGACGUCACAUGAGGGGUUUUCCGUUACUUAAAAUAGAUUGGCCGUCAACCCUCUCGAUCGCGGCCAUUUAGAUUGUAUCAGAGUAAAAGUCGUCGGUAGACUAAAUACUGACAUUUUCACACAAACAAACUAUACAUACACGUAUUCUUUCUUAAAGUAAGACGUUUAUAAAUGAUAUUUCAAAAAUAAUAAAACAUAUAAUAUGUUGAUUACAAUUAUAAGUGGUGUGAAUGCGAAAGUGUUAUUAAUCGUCAGCGAUCGAAAUUUAAGAGGUGCAUUGAAUCAGUUAUAAAACUAAGCCCUGAAAAGCGCAAAACAUUACAAUCUUUAAAUGUAGUUUUAAUUUUCUUUUACAUUGAAUGAAUUCUCGUUUCGUUUACAUUGAAUGAAAAAAUUAAUAAAUUUAAUUAGCAUUCAAAUGGAUAAAACACCUGCAUAUUUUGAAAAUUGAACUGGCAUAUACAUGUAUAUUGAAAACUCUUUACCAGUGUUAAUUAGCGGUACAAAUCUAACAUUUUAUGAAACCAUAAAUCUAAACAUUUAAUUUAUUUUACGCAGGUAUUUUAUAUCCCUACUAUGAUCAAACGCGUUUGCAUGUUUUCAUGAUGAUGUUUCGAACACUGCAGUAACGCACGAUCUUUACACGUUAUAGCGGAGUUUACAUGUGCAGGUACCCGUUAAAUACGUUAAUUGUAUAGCAGUACAUUUGUAAAAUAUUUUUAAUGUAUAGUUAUUAAACACUUUCAUUGUUAUGUUUAAACUGGCUAAUAUACAUUAUACAUUUUAAAUGUCCUGUUAAUCCAUGUCAGACAAAUGUCUAUUUUUUAAAUACGUUCAAAUAUUUUAUUAAAGCAACUGUUAAGUAUUUGGCUUAAAUGACAGCUCAAUAUGCCAAGAGAUGACAUGGAGGUAUCAUACAUUGUGUUUAAUGACCAGACACAUGUGGUUUAUGCAGGGUAUAGGUCCCCGGGUUUAUGACACCCUAGCUGCUUUCUUAGUAAUUGUCUUGACAUUAUUCGAUCAUAUUGAGAUAAUCGGUUGGUGAUGAACAAAUGGGCAAUUAAACACUGGGAUAAAAAUGCUGAAACAAUGAGUGUCAAAAUUGGUGUGAACAAUUAAAUAAAAACAAAUACAUUUAUCAAGAGGAUUUAAUUAAUCUGUAACAAGGUAAGUUUUUACAGACAUAUAGGUUCAAAUCUGUUCGUGUUGAUUAAAUAAAAUCAAUCUAUUUGUUGUUUAUUUUCGUCCUUAUUAAUUUUGUGUUCGUUCAUUGAAUUCAAUUUAUUCUGAAAGAAUUUCAAUUUCUGAGUAUUUUGUUGUUCUCAAAAAGGGUCGCGAAUAUGUGUGAAGUAGAGAUUAUUAUGGUAACCUUAUCACGAUGCGAUUCAUCAAAUGCAGACAAUAGCACAAUGGCCGCAGUGUUGACGCCCAAAAUUUAAGCAUGCGCAAACGUGACGUCAUUAUCGGAGUCCCUAAAACUUCCUGUGGACUGUCUGUUCCGAGAUACAUUUUCACCUCAAUUAUUUACAAUAUAAGUUCAUUGCCCAUACCUUAAAGAACGGCAUUUAAUGAAUUAAUAUAUAUAUAUUUUAUUUAUCCAUAUGUGUGGCACGUUGAUCUUUGAAAUUAUACUUAUUAUUCGUAUUUUUCACUAGUAAUCGGCAUGUGUUUCUCCACUGUCCGCCAUCUUGUAAUGUUGACUUGUGGGUAAUUUUCGCAUAGCAACACACUGCGGUGUAAACAGAAGCUUUACUUGCUCUAUAUUAAAGCUUUAGGUAAGAAAGCUGCACUAUUUUUAGCAGACGAAAUGUUAAUAUUUAGUUCAUAUAAUCUGUUUUAAAUUGUUAAUUCAUUUAAAGUCUAUUUUAUGAUUUACAAAGGUUUAGCGUGCUAGCGUUCCAUGAUUGGUCACGGCAGUUAUUGUGACCCGUUUUCGGUCUCACAGUGACCAAUAUUUGGUCACAGUGAUCUGGUCACAAGUGGAACGCCGCGGCUAUAUAAAGUGACCAAAAUUUGGUCACAAGAUUUAUUCUAGUUUAACAUCUUAUAGAGGUAACAUCAAUAACUUUUUUUUUUUUUAAAGUAAUAUUAAAGUUUUACAAUAGUAACGGUUGUACUGAAAUAUAUAAAUAGCCAUACAUUUAGUCAUUCCAGUUUUUGAUGUUAUUAAUAAUUUCAAAGAGAAGCGUCAUUGAAUCUUAGCCAUUAAGUAUUACGUCUAUUUUAAUGGUGUUCAGUCCUACAUUUGAUAGACUACGCUACCGUAUUUGAGUAAAUUGAAAAUAAACUAUUUAGAUACAGGACGCUCAUGUCAAAGAAUUGUAAAAUUCGUUAAUAUAUUUUAAGUCGUUAUUUGCAUGUCCGUUCGAAUCUGUGAACGCUGCGGCUUAAUAAAAUUGUUGAAAAUUUGAAACGAGGCUUGCGUUAGUCAAUCGUCAAGUUUUGACCACGGAACGCAACAAUAUGCCAUACUGCGUUACAUGAAAGGCGUGUCUUUCAAGAAAGGGGCUUUAUUUAAGGACAAACAAGGUCAACCUAUAAAUGCUGCAAAUUUCCGCUCUAUACUUCGCUCAUGUGUUAUGGCCUGCAACUUAGAUCCAACUCUAUUCACUGGUCAUUCAUUCCGCAUAGGUGGGGCCACAUUUGCACAUGCUAUGGGUAUGUCUCCAACCAUAAUUCAGAAGCUAGGCCGUUGGAAAUCAUCAGCAUAUCUAAAAUACAUUCGCCCUCAGCUAUACCAAUAAAACUCUAAUCUUAAACUUCACAUUCCUAGUCUGUUUUAGGCAGCAGGGGAUGAUAUUGUACCUGACUUAUUGGCCAGUACCUGCUCAAAAGACUCUUAUUUUAUUCGUAUCCUUGCUUUUGUACAUGUUAAAUAAUUUCUCCAUGUACCAGGUAGUCACAGAUGUUUGGAUUCUACUUCAUUUGUAUUGUCCAGUCGCCGGGUGUUAUUAUACCAGCUUCUGUACGGAACAUACAUGCAGUUUGUACAUGUCCAUUGCUGAAAGCUCUUAGACAUGCGGGACUGAGGUCAUGACAUAUGCAGGAUGUUCCGUUUUAGGCGGACAUCUUGGCUUUUUCCUCCAAUAAGCCCCGCAUAUCUAGUAGCAAAUGUUCUGUUUUUUGGGAGACUUUUUGCCUGGCUAGAUAUUGUUUUUAGAUUAUUUUAAUAACUUUCGACUAAGCUUAGACCAUGUAUUAUGUAAAUAGUUAUGUUUUUGCUUUGGAUUUAUUGUUAUGAUUACCUUAUAGUUCUUAUAUAGUGUUACACAUACAUGUAUAUCUGAUACACCAAACAUGGACCCACAGAAAGCAAUAAAAGAAAUCUUAGUGUGUAUUGUUAAUGGAGUUUCUGGUUAGUACGGAAACUCCAUUCAUUCACAUUCGUAUUCAAUCUCAUUAGAAAUUAAUUGAUAUAUGUUUCCAAAUGCUAGGUCUGAGGGGGUUCUGUUUAAGGCAGACUAACUCAGAUUUUGCUUUCAUGUUAAUUUUUGUAAGUUAGAUAAUUGUUAAACUACUUAGCCGCUUUGGAAUAUCUAUACUUUGGGGACCAGCGUGGUUUCCUCUGGGCGUUUCUCGUGGCGGUUUUUUUGCCACCCAGAUAUGUCACAUCUAAAUAUAGGUUUUUUCAUAUUUGACAUAUUGUGGUUAAUGUUUACAUCACAUAUAAGAAAAUGAUGUUUUAUACUAGACAUACUUAGGAUGUCUCCGUUUUGGCAUAAAUAAAUGCCCAUAUUCAGCAUAAUCCGUCUUGUGUCUUUAUAUGUGUCAAACUUGUCCAACCACACCGGUUCCUCCUAUACUACGUGUGGUUGUUCUGCAUUUCUGGAUCUGAACAGACCAUAAAUAAUAUUUUAUGCAGUCAUAAAAUCUUUUAUGGGACUGAUUAGAUCUUUUGUUGAUAAUGACCAAGAAGCCGAAUCUUAAACUAAGGUUUAUUUAACUUGAAAGUUAUAAAUAGGACAUUAGGUUACAUUCUAUAAAUAGCACGGUUUGACCAAUCAAUAGGCAGCUUGGCCAUUUUGUUUUAUCGUUGAAGGAGGAAAGGCUUGUUUCUAUCAACAGCUAACCUCCUCCUCCCCACCUGCCGCCUUGAGUUUUUUUUUUCACUGUGAUGUACAUGUAUUGUUAAUUUUAACAACGUAUAAUUUUUGUAUUGUAUUGUUCAAACAUUUAUGUCAACAUUAUGGUUUGUCAAGAACUCACUUAAUGAAGCCACUUAUGUUUACCUCAUAUUUCCGUAAUGACAAACUUGUUACCUUUUAACGUUGUUGAUACAACAUGCCAAGUGGCAUUUUCGUCACAACUUUGAACUGUCUUGUAACAUUCAUUAUAACUUGAUCUGCGUUUUUUUUCCACCCAGAUAUAUAUGACCCUAAAUAUAUGUUUUUUCAUAUUUGACAUAUUAUGGUUUAUGUUUACAUCACAUAUAAGAAAAUGAUGUUUUAUACUAGACAUACUUAGGAUGUCUCAGUUUUGGCAUAAAUAAAUGCCCAUAUUCAGCAUAAUCCUUCUUGUGUCUUUAUAUGUAUCAUACUAGUCCAACCACACCGGUCCCUCCUAUACUACUUGUGGUUGUUCUGCAUUUCUGGAUCUGAACAGACCAUACAUUUCAUUCAUGUGUUACACUUAUUGAUAAUAUUUCGAUAUUUGGUAACUAAUUAAACGGGUUAUCAAUGUCCUGUGUAAAAGACGAAGACAAAGAGCGGUGAUGCCAAUAACAAAGUGUUAAUUAUUUAACAAGACAUUUAUUUUCGGUAUUGUUAUUCGUGUAUUUUUAAUAAUUCUAAAUAAUCGUGAGUGUGUUAAAAUGUUAGAAUAUACUUGAAUACUUGUAAACAAUACUAAUUUACGAUAAAUAUUAUAUUAUUA